GAUGAACGCUGGCGGCGUGCCUAACACAUGCAAGUCGAACGAGAUGCGUAUCGGAAAGCUUCGGCCGGAAGAUACGUUAUCUAGUGGCGGACGGGUGAGUAACACGUGGGUAACCUGCCUUAUGGAGGGGGAUAACAGAGAGAAAUCACUGCUAAUACCGCGUAAGCACACAGUACCGCAUGGUACAGGGUGAAAAGAUUUAUCGCCAUAAGAUGGACCCGCGUCUGAUUAGCCAGUUGGCAGGGUAAAAGCCUACCAAAGCAACGAUCAGUAGCCGAUCUGAGAGGAUGACCGGCCACAUUGGGACUGAGACACGGCCCAAACUCCUACGGGAGGCAGCAGUGGGGAAUAUUGCACAAUGGGGGGAAACCCUGAUGCAGCGACGCCGCGUGAGUGAAGAAGUAUUUCGGUAUGUAAAGCUCUAUCAGCAGGGAAGAUAAUGACAGUACCUGACUAAGAAGCCCC
rnacentral:rRNA from 1 species